rnacentral:rRNA from 1 species
AUACGUAGGGGGCGAGCGUUGUCCGGAAUGACUGGGAGUAAAGGGAGUGUAGGCGGCGGUGUAAGUCUGGAGUGAAAGUCCCGCAUUCAAUGUGGGAAUUGCUUUGGAUACUGCAGUGCUAGAGUGCGGAAGAGGUAAGUGGAAUUCCCAGUGUAGCGGUGAAAUGCGUAGAGAUUGGGAGGAACACCAGUGGCGAAGGCGACUUACUGGGCCGUAACUGACGCUGAGGCGCGAAAGCGGGGGGAGCAAACAGGAUUAUAUACCCUGGUAGUCCACGCGGUAAACGAUGAAUGCUAGGUUUUGCGGGUAUCGACCCCUCCAGUGCCAGAGUAAACACAAUAAGCAUUCCGCCUGGGGAGUUCGGCCGCAAGGUAGAAACUCAAAGGAAUUGACGUGG